CCUUUAAGUUUGUUUAUCUUCUGAACUUGCAAUUGGAGAGUUUUGAGACUUUGUUAUAUUUUUGGCUUUGGAAAAAGGAAAAUCCUUAGUAUUAGGCUAGUUGUUGUGCAAAUUUUAUUGAACUUGCAAGCGCACGAAUCUAUUGUAGAAUACAUUAAUGGUGACGAGUGUCGAUCCUACGAGGAGGUGGAUUUUAAUUAUAUGUAGAAUUAACUUUCUAUGAGGGUGAUUGGAUUUGUGGUGAAAAUGAUUUGGAAUAUUCUAAAAUUAAAAUUAAAAUGAUGAGAAUAAAUUGAAGAGGAAACUAUUAUAAUUGAAGCGCUUGGGUAUCUGGAUCCGCAACAACAUGCACCAUGUGUUAAAUAUUUCUUAUUAAUGCCAAUUAAAUCAUGAGGGGGAUUUCCACUCCUCAUAAACCACACUCUAAUUAAUAUGGUGGUAAGGGCUUAUCGUGCCAAAUAAUAAUAACCUUGUACUAGGGAGCCGGUGAAACCAAAGCGGUAUCUAGACAAGAUUAUUACUAUUUGUCGACGAAAAGUCAAAACAUCCACAAAAAUUAAAAGGGAAGAGAAAAUAAAUUCGCCAAAUAAAGCCCAUGGCACAUGUUGAGACUUCACCUUCAACUCAAGUUUGAAAGAAAAUUAGCUACUCAUAAUUGAACUAGGGGUAAAAUGAGAAUUUAUUAAAAUACAUAGAAAAUACAAGAUGGAGAAGGAAUUACAGAAAAUGGAGCUCAACAAUGAAUUCAGAGAUGCCAAAUUCAGGGGAGAGAGCCCCCUUUUUAUAGAUACACUUGAGUAAAUCAUGACCAUCGAAUUAAAAACAUUUUAGACGCUCAGGAUUGCGCCACGUCAUCAGUCAACAGUACGCGGUUUGACCACGUGGUUUGAAUAGUGACACGGUUUGACCACGCGGUUUGAAUAUUGAUGAAGUUUGAACAAUGACGUGGUUUGGUUGAAAAUAAUCCUGUGUAUAUGCAUGUACCGUACGUACGAUUUUUGGUCCA
rnacentral:lncRNA from 1 species